rnacentral:rRNA from 1 species
CGAGGAAUCUUGCGCAAUGGGCGAAAGCCUGACGCAGCAACGCCGCGUGGGUGACGAAGGCCUUCGGGUUGUAAAACCCUUUUGACGGGGAAGAAGUUCUGACGGUACCCGUCGAAUAAGCCACGGCUAACUACGUGCCAGCAGCCGCGGUAAGACGUAGGUGGCGAGCGUUAUCCGGAUUUACUGGGCGUAAAGGGUACGUAGGCGGUGCUGCAAGUCUGCUGUGAAAUCUCCCGGCUCAACUGGGAGCGGUCAGUGGAAACUGCAACACUUGAGGUACGUCGAGGCAAGUGGAAUUCCCGGUGUAGUGGUGGAAUGCGUAGAUACCGGGAGGAACACCAGUGGCGAAAGCGGCUUGCCAGGCGUCACCUGACGCUGAGGUACGAAAGCGUGGGGAGCGAACCGGAUUAGAUACCCCCGUAGUCC